UGGGGAAUAUUGCACAAUGGGCGAAAGCCUGAUGCAGCAACGCCGCGUGAACGAUGAAGGCCUUCGGAUCGUAAAGUUCUGUUGCAGGGGAAGAUAAUGACGGUACCCUGUGAGGAAGCCCCGGCUAACUACGUGCCAGCAGCCGCGGUAAUACGUAGGGGGCUAGCGUUAUCCGGAUUUACUGGGCGUAAAGGGUGCGUAGGUGGUCCUUCAAGUCGGUGGUUAAAGGCUACGGCUCAACCGUAGUAAGCCGCCGAAACUGGAGGACUUGAGUGCAGGAGAGGAAAGUGGAAUUCCCAGUGUAGCGGUGAAAUGCGUAGAUAUUGGGAGGAACACCAGUAGCGAAGGCGGCUUUCUGGACUGCAACUGACACUGAGGCACGAAAGCGUGGGUAGCAAACAGGAUUAGAUACCCUGGUAGUCCACGCUGUAAACGAUGAGUACUAGGUGUCGGGGGUUACCCCCCUCGGUGCCGCAGCUAACGCAUUAAGUACUCCGCCUGGGGAGUACGCACGCAAGUGUG
rnacentral:rRNA from 1 species